UUCAUUUUAAUAAGCCCAACCCUUUAUUUGAACCCUUGUGGGUCAAAUAUUCCAUAACUCAAGCCCAUUUAUUUACCAAUUCCAAACCUACCCUAUAUUCUUUACUCUAUAAAUAACCCUCAUAACCCCAAAAUUCCCCCACACAAAAGAGGCUCAAAGAAAUCAGAUUACACAAUACAUGAGGUCCAACACCGCUGCCACCUCACGCCUGCUGCUGCUACGUUACCAACCACGUCGCCGGACAACCACCUCCCGCCGGACUACCCGUGACCAACCCGACCACCAUCCAUGGUGGUACUACCCUCUCUCCUCUUAUUUUAAUUAUUAUUCUUAUUUUACUUGGGUUUUGAUUGAUAAAAUUAUAUUACUAUAUUGUAUAAUUAUGUUUUGAUGAUUAAAGGUUGUAAAUUUUAGAGUAUAAAGUGUUUUAUUUUCAGAUUUUAUAAAGUAUUAAAAGUUAGAGUUUUAAUUAUAAAAGAAUUGAUUUUUAGGGUUAUAAAAGAGGUUCUCCCUCUAAACACUUUUGCUCUCUUCUCUCUCUUGUCCCAACAACCAGCAAACCCUUAGGAACUCGUCGGAGUUCUAGCGCCGCAGCCAAACUCCGGCGAGUUCCUAUUCCUUUUUUUCCCCUCUGUUUUCUCACAAAUUCAUCCUCCUUCUCUCACAAACAAAUUUUUCUUUUUUCCCUAGCCUUCCAUUUCUAAGAAUUCAAUCUCUUCUUAGAUUUGUUUUUUAAAGGUGUGUUUGUAGGUUUUUAUCCCAGUUAAGAAGACGAGGGGAGAGUGCUUUUGAUCCACAACUUUGUGUCAAAGAAAGAUUUCCGUCGGCGAAACAAGGGCAAAGGGCUAGGCCUAAUGCCGCCGUCAGUGGUCAUGGUGGUUUUGAUCGUGACGGAAACGGUGAAGUUAGGGUUAGGGUUCCGGGUUCCUUGCGUUGGAUAGUAACGCCACCGUCACGAGUGUUUGUGACGGAAUUGGUGAAGUUAGGGUUAGGGUUUUGGGGUCUUUGCUUUGGGUAAAGAUCGUUGGGAUGCCGCCGUCACGAGCAGAUGUGAUUUGAUUGUAAAGUAUAGCAAUAUUGUAUUGAUGAAUCGAGCAGAUGUUAAUUUGAUAUUAAAAGCUACUUUCAAUAGGAACUUAGAUCUUAUAAAUUACGAGAGCCUGUUAAUCAUGUUAUAUGUGCAAUGUUAAUUAUUGAUUGUUAUGUUUUAUCCUGGUAUAUUAUCAUUGGUGAACCUUUGACCCUAGGCUUUCUAUUAUUGAUUUCUCCCUAUUUUUAA